AUUGUUCCGUACCGGAAUAUGUAUUUUAGAUUCUUUUUUUUUUUGUUUUUUGCCUAAUAUAUAUUCUAUGUACUAUUUUCAAUCAACACAACUAAAUAUAAAUAAUUGGUGAGUUGAUCUCGGGCUUCCGGGUCAACUACCGGAUAUGCAAAGCAAUCCGCCAUUGGUUCUGCGCCUGGACCCCCGCGCGCGCCCUCUACCACCGCGCGUUUUUUGGGAAACCUCAGUACAAGUGUUAGAUCGGCACGCGACUCUUGAGUAGCGGCGUUGCACGCCCCUCUAAAAAUACCUAUAAGUGAUAAUCGUAAUACCACCUACCAAUUAUCGUGUCUGGCCAUCCGACUCGAGUAUAAAUACACCCAGUGCCUGUGGAUUUGUGCGCUCAUGGUAGAAGAAGAUCGAAGGCGCCUUAGCAUACCCUCACCACGCGAAGCCCGAGGAGCGCGAAGCUGUACGGUGUUUGCCAGGUAAGCCCGGAGGCUUCUCACCAUAAAUUUGGUUCUUACGAGCCGGAUUUGUAUUUAUUUUCAAGUUGUGUUGGUUAGAUUCCAUCUAGAUUUCUAUAUUUUUCCCGUUUUCCAAUAUGGCGGAACAAGAUUUGUUUGAAAGAGAAAUUAUUUUAGACGAAUUAAAACAAACAUUAGAGUUCUUCCCUGUUAAUGAACAAAAUUUCAGGGCAAGAGUGAAGGAUAUAAUUCCUAUACAAAGGAGAUUCCUCAAAAUUCAGUCCAAAAUAGAAAAAAGUUUGAUAAAUUCCGAGAAAUUCAAUAAGGACGAACAGUUGAGAAUUCGUAGUAAUUUCAAUGAAUUGUAUUACGCUAUUUUAGGAAAUAUCAAUUCUUUAAAGCAAAGUGAUGAUGAAGCCAGGCGCGCGAAUCGAUCGUUCAUCAAUACAUCGAUGUCUAACGCCAGUAGUCAGCCAAAACUCCCCAAGUUGCCGCUACCGUCUUUCUCGGGCGAAACAACGGAUUGGCCGUCAUUUUGCGAUUUGUUUAAAUCUCUAGUCCACAACAAUGAUUCCUACACGGAUGCGGAGAAGUUUCGAUACCUACUUCUUACUUUAAAACAAGAACCGUUUAAUCUCAUCAAAUCCAUACCUAUUACCGAUGAGAAUUAUCGCAUUGCGUGGAAUGCUCUCGUUUCUCGAUACGAAAAUAAACGAGCAAUUGCAUCAAAACAUCUCGAUCGAAUAUUAGAUAUGGAAACUUGUGCGGAUAAUUAUGCAAGUCUUCGUAAUUUUUUAAAUGUUUUUCAAGAAAAUACUAAAGCUUUAGAAAUGAUGCAAUUUCCCGUCGAGGAAUGGAAUUUUUUAUUAUUAAAUAUUUUGUUGCGUAAAAUACCGAGUCCUAUUCGUAAACGUUUCGAGUUAUCUUUAACAAAGCCAUGCGAUAUACCUUCUGUGUCAAGAUUAAUUAAUUUUCUCGAACGAGAACUCUCGGCAGUGGGAAUGGUAGAUGUCAAUAGUAAUAGUAACGCCCCAUUUAAGAAAAAAUUCAAUUCGGUUUCGAAACAGCAACCACGUGAACCACGUAGUGGAGCGCCAUCUACCGGCAACUCCACUAGCCACGGCGAUGCCUACGCCCGCCGAGCGUUGGUAGCUAAUGUCAAGUCGAACAACACAGGCAAUUCACAGCCUUCGUAUUGCAAAAAUUGUUUGUAUUGCAACGCUCCACACGUCAUAACAAAAUGUUCGGAUUUUUUGAACUUAUCGCCACGCGAUAGAUACUCAUUUAUAAAAAAUAAAGACAUUUGUUCGAAUUGUUUAUUUUCGGGUCAUGAAAUAGGUCAAUGCAAAUCGAACUUCGUUUGUCGAACAUGUUUUAAACGCCACCAUAGUUUAAUUCAUUUCACAAAAGUGGAUAGUAAUGUUGUCUCACUCUCUCCCGUUGCGCAGGAGACGGUUACUCCUCCUCACUCAAUUUCUAGUGCGGACCAGUCUUGUGCUAUGUUGUCGGCCGUCGACCACUCGACACCUAGGUUGUGUGCGUUAUCCAAUGGGCCCGCAGUGCGUGUAAAUACCGUUCUACUAUCAACCGCACGAGUCGAUGUAUGGGUGGACAUGCAAAAGCGUGCUACCAUUCGAUGCAUGAUCGAUACCGGCAGUCAAGCGUCGUUUAUUACGGAGGCAUGCGUGCAGCGCUUAGGAUUAGAACGUCAUAAUGUAAACAUACCGGUGUUUGGGAUAGGGACAGACCGUCCAGUACAACCUAAGGGAAGUGUUUCGUUGUGUUUGACCCCUGUCAAUGCCGAACAACCCUCCAUACCGGUACAAGCAUUAAUUUUACCGAAAUUAAUUUCAAAUAUGCCCAGUGUAAAAUUACCCUACAGUGGUUGGACACAUAUUAACAAUUUAAAAUUAGCUGAUCCGACCUUUCACACACCGCAACCGGUUGAGAUGCUAAUAGGAGCGGAUAUACUAUCCCACAUACUACUAGGCAAUGUAAUAAGCGGUUCGCCGGGCACUCCGAUAGCUAUAAACAGUAUCUUCGGUUACCUAUUACUAGGACAACUCACUUGCGAGUCUACCACCCCAUCCCCCAUUCAAGCCUGCGCUAGUUCAUUCUACAAUGACGGCGAUUUAAAAAGGUUUUGGGAACUUGAGUCAUUAUCUGAAGAAAAAACUCUCACGCCCGAUGAACGUUUAUGCGAAUCCUUUUAUGAAGCCACACACACUCGUGACGUGACCGGACGUUAUGUGGUUUAUCUCCCUUUCAAACCUGAUUCCCAACCUCUUGGGGAAUCUAGGGAUAUCGCUCUUGCUCGUUUUCAUAAAUUAGAAAAUCGACUUGAACGCAACCCUAAGCUGAAGACGGACUAUCAUGAUUGCUUACAAGAAUACCUUGAUCUUAAGCAUAUGGAGCCCGUCGAAACCAAGCCAGUUCCAAGUAAGGUGUACUAUAUUCCUCAUCACUGCGUGGUGAAGGAGUCCAGUGAAACCACACGUACUCGAGUAGUCUUCGACGCUGGUUGUAAGUCCGCGAGUGGAAUUUCACUUAAUGAAAAAUUAUUUACCGGUCCUAAGUUACACCAGGACAUUGUUGAUAUAAUUUUAAAAUUUCGUACACAUCGCAUCGCCUUUACGGCUGAUAUAAAACAAAUGUACCGUAAUAUACUAGUUCACGAGGCCGACAGAGAUUUUCAACGUAUCCUAUGGCGCAAAUCCCCCGACGAGCCCAUAAAGGAAUAUAGGCUAUGUACUGUCACCUUUGGGGUAAAUGCAUCACCUUAUUUAGCUCUUCGCACAAUUAAACAGCUGGCUCAUGACGAAGCCUCGCGUUUCCCUCACGCAUCUGCGGUGCUGUUGGAUCAAGUCUUCGUUGAUGACGUUAUUUCAGGCGCUGACAACGACGACCAAGCUUUGGCACUUCAGAAGGAACUUAUCUCCAUUUGCGCCACCGCUGGGUUCCAGUUACGUAAAUGGCAUAGCAACUGCGCAGCGAUACUGACUGCAGUACAAACGCCAGUAACUUAUGGUGAGCGGCAAAACAGCGUUCCUUUCGCUCCCAUGGAAAGAGAUACUCAAGCUAAGGUUUUAGGAUUGCAGUGGGACCCUCCCUCUGACCAAUUCACAUUUAGCAUUCAAUGCGAUUCAAAUAAAAUCACAAAGCGAACAAUACUUUCUCAAAUUGCCAAGAUUUACGACCCGAUGGGUUGGCUGUCACCUGUAACUGUAUUUGCAAAGUAUUUGAUGCAGUUACUUUGGCUUUCCGGCGUUGGAUGGGAUGACCGCCCCCCGGUCGAUAUCGUAAAUGCUUGGGUUGCUUUCAUACAGGAGUUGCCACUCUUAUCCCGCGUUUCUAUACCUCGACAUGUCUUUUUCGAAACAUGUAAUAUGCAGCUUCACGGUUUUUCCGAUGCUUCCGAACGUGCGUAUGCUGCAUGCGUUUAUCUCCGUCUUACAGACAAUAAUGGAGUAAGUACCGUUCAUCUUCUGAUUGCGAAAACACGAGUUACGCCUAUUUCGCCGCGGUUAUCAAUUCCGCGUUUAGAACUUAUGGCGGCAUUACUCUUAUCCCGUUUGUUAGAUAAAACCAUCCGGGUUUAUAACAUAAACAUGUCAAAUGUACACGCGUGGUCGGAUUCGUCGAUUGUAUUGGCUUGGUUACGUUCUCCACCCUAUGAAUGGAAAAUAUUUGUUUCUAAUCGCACGAGUGACAUACUUACCUUAGUUCCUAGUUCGCACUGGAGGCACGUUCCAUCGGCUCAUAAUCCAGCUGAUGCUCCAUCACGUGGUAUGCUACCGUCAACAUUCUUAGAAAAUGAGAUGUGGUUUCAUGGUCCCUCAUGGCUGCGACAGGAUCCUAGAACCUGGCCGACGCAAAGGGAAAUUCCCCCUACAAAUGAAGAAAAGCGUAACCUACCCUUAGCUUCAGCUGCCACUAGUUCAUCAUACGUCGAAGAUAAUGACAUAUUCUACAAGUUUUCAACUUUAUCUAAAUUAGUGAGUGUCACUGCGUACAUAUUUCGCUUCUAUGACAUUUUAAAGGCCAAAGUCAACAAGAAAAGUAUUUUAUUUGCACAGUAUAUUUCAGUUCCAGAAUAUACUCAUGCCUUAAACCGAUUAAUUUACAUCGUUCAACAGUCCACAUUUCAAGAUGAUAUUAAAAAUAUUUCUCAAGGGAAAGCUCCAUCUAAUCAGCUGAAGCGACUCAAUCCCUUUGUAGAUGAUAAUAAUUUUUUGCGUGUCGGUGGACGCCUACAUAAAUCGCUUCUUUCAUAUGAAUCGAAACAUCAGUUAAUCUUACCGAAAAAACAUUUUUUAAGAGAGCGGUAGUCAAAAUCUGCCCUCUUCCUUUUGAAUAAUUUAAAUUAUUUUUCAAUUAAGAGUUGUUCUACGAAUGCUCAACUGUAGUUUUCAAGAAAACAGAAAACUAUUCUAAUUUCCUAUAAUUUAAUAUCCUAGAUAAGUUAAGAAGUUCAUUACUUACAUAAUCGUUAAAAGAAUUACAUUCUUUUAAGGUGAGCGGCAUGUUCCGUACCGGAAUAUGUAUUUUAGAUUCUUUUUUUUUUUGUUUUUUGCCUAAUAUAUAUUCUAUGUACUAUUUUCAAUCAACACAACUAAAUAUAAAUAAUUGGUGAGUUGAUCUCGGGCUUCCGGGUCAACUACCGGAUAUGCAAAGCAAUCCGCCAUUGGUUCUGCGCCUGGACCCCCGCGCGCGCCCUCUACCACCGCGCGUUUUUUGGGAAACCUCAGUACAAGUGUUAGAUCGGCACGCGACUCUUGAGUAGCGGCGUUGCACGCCCCUCUAAAAAUACCUAUAAGUGAUAAUCGUAAUACCACCUACCAAUUAUCGUGUCUGGCCAUCCGACUCGAGUAUAAAUACACCCAGUGCCUGUGGAUUUGUGCGCUCAUGGUAGAAGAAGAUCGAAGGCGCCUUAGCAUACCCUCACCACGCGAAGCCCGAGGAGCGCGAAGCUGUACGGUGUUUGCCAGGUUACCACAGAACGAUGAAAGGGAAGAAAUGGCAUUACAAAAUGGAACGGCACCAACUCAUGACGUUUUGUCACAGAUAGACAUCUCGUGCUUAGCGAAAAUAAAUCAAGCUCGGCGAAUAGUUUAAAUAA